GAUGAACGCUGGCGGCGUGCUUAACACAUGCAAGUCGAACGGAAAGGCCCAAGCUUGCUUGGGUACUCGAGUGGCGAACGGGUGAGUAACACGUGGGUGAUCUGCCCUGCACUUCGGGAUAAGCCUGGGAAACUGGGUCUAAUACCGGAUAGGACCACAUUUUGGAUGGUGUGGUGGAAAGUUUUUCGGUGUGGGAUGAGCUCGCGGCCUAUCAGCUUGUUGGUGGGGUAAUGGCCUACCAAGGCGUCGACGGGUGGCCGGCCUGAGAGGGUGUACGGCCACAUUGGGACUGAGAUACGGCCCAGACUCCUACGGGAGGCAGCAGUGGGGAAUAUUGCACAAUGGGCGCAAGCCUGAUGCAGCGACGCCGCGUGGGGGAUGACGGCCUUCGGGUUGUAAACUCCUUUCGCUAGGGACGAAGCGUUUUUGUGACGGUACCUGGAGAAGAAGCACCGGCUAACUACGUG
rnacentral:rRNA from 1 species